CCUACGGGAGGCAGCAGUGAGGAAUUUUGCGCAAUGGGGGAAACCCUGACGCAGCAACGCCGCGUGCGGGACGAAGGCCCUCGGGUCGUAAACCGCUUUCAGCCGGGAAGACCACGACGGUACCUGCAGAAGAAGCUCCGGCUCACUACGUGCCAGAAGCCGCGGUAAUACGUAGGGGGCGAGCGUUAUCCGGAUGCAUUGGGCGUAAAGCGCGCGUAGGCGGCCGCCUAAGCGGAACCUCUAACCCCGGGGCUCAACCGCGGGUCGGGUUCCGGACUGGGCGGCCCGAGUGCGGUAGAGGAGAGCGGAAUUCCCGGUGUAGCGGUGGAAUGCGCAGAUAUCGGGAAGAACACCGAUGGCGAAGGCAGCUCUCUGGGCCGUCACUGACGCUGAGGCGCGAAAGCUGGGGGAGCGAACAGGAUUAGAUACCCGAGUAGUC
rnacentral:rRNA from 1 species